GUAAAAAUCAUAUAUUGAAAGACAAUGGAGAGCAGUGGAAGCGAUGAGAAGAGAAGGACAAGCUUUUCCUAGGUCAGCUGAUCCCUAUUUGUUUUCUUCCCUGGGGACAUUCCCCUAUUCUGAGCUUGGGUGCGGUCUUGACCUGAGCCAGCAGAGACUCCACCGAGGGAAAGAGGAGACACGGAGGUUGUGGCCAUCUCGAGGGGCUGGCACGACAGACCAGAGGGGAAACCAGAGGAGCCCUAAUUUCCACACAGGACAUUUGCUGAGCUCUGAGGAAGCUGAUAAGAAGGCUCACUAACCCGGGAUGGAACACUCACUAAAUCUGGAUUAGAGCUGCCUGCAUCACAGACUGGGAGCUCCUUGAAGGCAGGACUUGCGCCGCCCUCCUCCCUCUCCGGCUCUUCGGAUGCUCUGGCGGAGGUGACAGAAAGUGUCAAAGCCAACUAUUCACUGGAGGCAAAGUCUGAACACUUCAAAUGAGAUUUAGUGACUCAUCCGUGGGCAGGCCAGGGCUCUGAGAAUCCCUGCAGGUUAUACACUGACAGUCCAGCUAAUCUUAGGAAGAGGGACAAGAAUUGGAAACCAAGGCGUGGAGAGCUUAAGUAAGCUGCCCAAGGUCACUCAGCUAGUGAAUGGUGGAGCUGGGAGUCUCACCCGGCAGGAGGCCAGCGAGGCUGGAGCUGGUGGGUGAGGACCAGAAUGGCAGGAGAUCGAGCCACGUGGAGGGUCUGGGUCACGUCCAGCCUUGCAGGCCAUGGAAAAGGCAUUGAAUUUUAUCCUAUGUGCCAUGAGAAAUCGUUGAAAAGAUUUGAGCAGGAUAGUGCAUGACUUAAUGUGUGCGUGAAAAAGCCUGUGAUGAACUUUGUUCUUUUAAAAAUAAAAUCAUUAUAAUUUAUGAUUGUGAAACCUACAUGUUCAUUUGGAAAACACAGAAAAGCAUAAAAUCGAAAACCAAAAUCACCUCUAAUCCCACCCUCCGAAGAAAACAGGCCUCAGCCACAAAGAACCAGCCAUCCUGGCCAACUCAGAAUGUGGAGACAUCGUCCUUCUGUGCUGUUCCAUGCACAUUUCUCCUCCUCAUCUUCCCUUCUGCCUUGACUGGAUCAUAAUUCUGACGUGAGAGGAUGAGUACGUUGUAUGCUUGGCCUAUCCCAACUGUUCAUAAUUACAAUACACCACCAAUUUUGUAUCAGGCAAAGCACUUUUUAUAUGCAUCCUUUAAAUUAAUCCUACCUACAGUCCUCUGAGGGGAGUCAUAUUAGCUCUUUUACUGAUGGAGAAAUGGAAGUUCAGAGAAGUAACAACAGCUAGAAAGUGGCAGAGCCAGUUGACCUUGAGUACGUCAGACCCCAAAUUGCAUGCGUUUAAUCCCUUCUUACAGCCUAUGUCCCCUUAAAACUCUCUAUCAUCAAUCCACUUUGUUGGUGGUAGUAGUUUACUCUCCACCUGACCCUAGGAUUGGGCUGGGCUGAGGUACAAGCACAGGUUGUUGGUGAGGCCAACCAGCCCUAAAGCCAGGGGUAUUUAAGAUGUGCAAACAGUGGGUAGGUGCUUGGAGGGCAGAUAGUCAAAUGCCAGGAACGCAGGCUGAAGAGCUACCAUGCAGAUCCAUUAGGGAGAGAAAGCUGGUUUGGGGGAAGCAGGACCACCUCCCGUGAUAAGAUCAGGGCUGAAAGUCUGAAUCCUCAUACCCGUCAGGGCCUCCACCACAGCUGGAUCAGGUUAGAGUAACUUCCCCAAAGCAGCUGGGAAAAUUCCCAGGAUGCCAGGCCGCCAGGCAGUGUUCUGUUCCUGGGGAGAGCCGACCCUGCCGCUUCUCCCUCCCUCCCAUUCAUGGAAAAGUACAGGCAGUGCUGGUGCCCCGCAAGCCUUCAGGCAAAUGCCUGGCUGCCCUCUGGACUCACAACUGCAAGCUCUGACUGGUUUGUCCUUGGUCCAGGGCUGGAGGAAAAUAGUUUCCAAAAAAAGCAGUUUAAAAAAAUGUGGAAAAUAUCCACAAGCCCAGUGUCUGCACAGAGUGGGAGUGGGAGGCCUUGUAGAUGGGCUUGCAGCCGAGGAUUCCACAGUCCUCUUUGCGAAGAGGCAGGGAAGGAAUGUGAAACCCUACCACCCGGAGGCGGAGAAAUGCACAGUAUGCCUUUCACUUUCUGCCCGCUCUGGGAAGGGGUCAGGGACGUGGGUCAUGCUGGGAAGUCACAGCUUCCUGAGAGGCUGCCUCAGACAGGAGUGGUUGGUUCACCAGGUGGGUGAGUCCAGACACCUGAUCUGUUAUCUUCCACAUCUGAGUGAAGUCAUGGAAGAUAAUGAAUAUGUGGAUAAAGAGAACAGAUUUGUGGUUACCAGAGGGAAAGGGGGUUGGAGGGUGGGCAAAAGGGGUAAAG
rnacentral:lncRNA from 1 species